UACGUAGGGACCGAGCGUUGUCCGGAAUCAUUGGGCGUAAAGAGCGUGUAGGCGGCCUUUUAAGUCCUGCGUGAAAUCCUGCGGCUCAACCGCAGACGGUCGUGGGAAACUGGAAGGCUAGAGUGCGGGAGAGGAGAGUGGAAUUCCCGGUGUAGCGGUGAAAUGCGCAGAUAUCGGGAAGAACACCCGUGGCGAAGGCGGCUCUCUGGAACGCAACUGACGCUGAGACGCGAAAGCGUGGGGAGCAAACAGG
rnacentral:rRNA from 1 species